rnacentral:rRNA from 1 species
AUUGAACGCUGGCGGCAGGCCUAACACAUGCCAGUCGAGCGGAUGAAGGGAGCUUGCUCCUGGAUUCAGCGGCGGACGGGUGAGUAAUGCCUAGGAAUCUGCCUGGUAGUGGGGGAUAACGUCCGGAAACGGGCGCUAAUACCGCAUACGUCCUGAGGGAGAAAGUGGGGGAUCUUCGGACCUCACGCUAUCAGAUGAGCCUAGGUCGGAUUAGCUAGUUGGUGGGGUAAAGGCCUACCAAGGCGACGAUCCGUAACUGGUCUGAGAGGAUGAUCAGUCACACUGGAACUGAGACACGGUCCAGACUCCUACGGGAGGCAGCAGUGGGGAAUAUUGGACAAUGGGCGAAAGCCUGAUCCAGCCAUGCCGCGGGUGUGAAGAAGGUCUUCGGAUUGUAAAGCACUUUAAGUUGGGAGGAAAGGCAGUAAGUUAAUACCUUGCUGUUUUGACGUUACCAACAGAAUAAGCACCGGCUAACUUCGUG